AUUUCAUACAUUAUGUUUCUUACCAAAAUCUACAAUGGUGGAAUCUAUUCUCUGUAAACUUUCAAGCAAAGCAAAGUAAGCAGUUGGUCUAGAAUUCCCACUCCUGAACCCCUUGCCUGUCAGGCCUCUGAGCCCAAGCUAAGCCAUCAUAUCCCCUGUGACCAGCAUGUGUACAUCCAGAUGUCCUGAAGCAACUGAAGAUCCACAAAAGAAGUGAAAAUAGCCUUAACUGAUGACAUUCCACCAUUGUGAUUUGUUCCUGACCCCCCCUAACUGAUACGAUAUAUUCUUCCCCGCCCUUAAGAAGGUGACAUCUGAGCAGUAACCAUAGUGAUAUGGGGGAAAGAACCACGUGGAUUUUGAGGCAUAUUUGGGGAACAUAGGAGGGUUUUGGCUGGGGAGAUUACAACUCAUAUUUUAAAGGAAUCAUCUGAUUGCUGUAAGAAGGGUCUACUGGGGCUGGAGACAAGAAUAUAAACAGUUUGGAAUCAAUUGCCAUAAUCAAGGUGAUAGAUUUUGGUGACCUUGCUUCAGAGUUGCAGUUCUGGAGUUAUGAUGGAAUAACUGGAAUUAGACUUGCCCUUCUGAAGUAAACAACUAGAAAGCUGUACAACAGUCAUAAGUCAACUGUUUUCAAGCAUUGGAUAAAACAACACUGUCGUCUUUGCGGGAAGAAAAACACAUGAGGAAGUCAGGGACCCCAAACGGAGGGACUGGUUGAAGCCAUGGCAGAAGAACGUGGAUUGUGAAGAUUUCAUGGACAUUUAUUAGUUCCCCAAAUUAAUACUUUUAUAAUUUCUUAUGCCUAUCUUUACUGCAGUCUCUAAACAUAAAUUGUAAAGAUUUCACGGACACUUAUCACUUCCCCAAUCAAUUCCCUUGUGAUUUCCUAUGCCUGUCUUUACUUUAAUCUCUUAAUCCUGCCAGCUGAGGAGGAUGUGUAUCACCUCAGGACCCUGUAAUAAUUGCACAAAUUAUACAGCUUGUGUGUUUGAACAAUAUGAAAUGUGUGCACCUUGAAAAAAGAACAGGAUAACAGCAAUUGUUCAGGGAAUAAGAGAGAUAACCUUAAACUCUGACCGCCGGUAAGCUGGGCAGAACAGAGCCGUAUUUCUCUUCUUUCAAAAGCAAAUGGGAGAAAUAUCACUGAAUUCUUUUUCUCAGCAUGGAACAUUCCUGAGAAAGAGAAUGCGCACCUGGGGGUAGGUGUCUGAACUGGCCCCCCUGGGCGUGGUUGUCUCUUACGGUCGAGACUGCAGAGGUGAAAUAGACUCCAGUCUCCCAUAGCGCUCCCAGGCUUAUUAGGAAGAGGAAAUUCCCACCUAAUAAAUUUUUGUCAGACUGGUUGAUCUCAAAACUCUGCCUCCUGAUAAGAUGUUAUCAAUGAUAAUGGUGCCCGAAACUUCAUUAGCAAUUUUAAUUUCACCCCGGUCCUGUGGUCCUGUGAUCUCACCCUGCCUCCACUUUCCUUGUGAUAUUCUAUUACCUUGUAAAGUACUUGAUGUCUGUGACCCACACCUAUUCGCUCACUCCCUCCCCUUUUGAAAAUACCUAAUAAAACCUUGCUGGCUUUUGGGGCAUCAUGGAACCUACCGACAUGUGAUGUCUCCCCCAGAUGCCCGGCUUUAAAAUUUCUCUCUUUUGUACUCUGUCCCUUUAUUUCUCAAGCUGGCUGAUGCUUAGGGAAAAUAGAAAAGAACCUAUGUGAAUAUCAGGGCAGGUUCCUCAAUAAUCUACUAUUGAGAGAGGGGUUGGUAAAGACUGAAGUGCAAGAGAUGGUGGCAGUUUUUGGUCUACUUUUCUACCCUUUUCUUGGGCAUUAACCAUAUGACAGUGGAAGGAUUAAAAAAAACAUUUUAUCAUACCUUAGAAGCAACAUGGAAGUAGGUAUUUUCUGAGCAACAAGAAAACUCAGAGUGUCUACUGUUUACUGUACUCUGAGUCCAGACCAUGGUGAAAGCCAUUUUCAACUGUUACGUCUCCAAUCAGCAAUGGAAAUAGAGGGACGCAAGUGACUGAAUACGGAGCAGAGUGCUGAGUGUCAGAAGAGGUGAGACCUUCAAUGGGACAGAAAAUAAUUUAAGUGGGCUGAGAGUUAAUAUGGGAAAGACAAGAAGGUCCAACAAAGAAAGGGAUUUUGCUUACCGGGGAGUGAUAGCCAAGUAGAUUUCGAAGGUUAAAUGAGAUAAUUUAGGUCAUAAGUUCUCUGGAGAAAAUGAGUCUGAUGGGGAU